rnacentral:rRNA from 1 species
CGAGUGGCGGACGGGUGAGGAAUACAUCGGAAUCUACUCUGUCGUGGGGGAUAACGUAGGGAAACUUACGCUAAUACCGCAUACGACCUACGGGUGAAAGCAGGGGAUCUUCGGACCUUGCGCGAUUGAAUGAGCCGAUGUCGAAUUAGCUAGUUGGCGGGGUAAAGGCCCACCAAGGCGACGAUCCGUAGCUGGUCUGAGAGGAUGAUCAGCCACACUGGAACUGAGACACGGUCCAGACUCCUACGGGAGGCAGCAGGG